UGGGGAAUAUUGCACAAUGGGCGCAAGCCUGAUGCAGCCAUGCCGCGUGUGUGAAGAAGGCCUUCGGGUUGUAAAGCACUUUCAGCGAGGAGGAAGGUGGUGAACUUACUACGUUCAUCAAUUGACGUUACUCGCAGAAGAAGCACCGGCUAACUCCGUGCCAGCAGCCGCGGUAAUACGGAGGGUGCAAGCGUUAAUCGGAAUUACUGGGCGUAAAGCGCACGCAGGCGGUUUGUUAAGUCAGAUGUGAAAUCCCCGGGCUCAACCUGGGAACUGCAUUUGAAACUGGCAAGCUAGAGUCUCGUAGAGGGGGGUAGAAUUCCAGGUGUAGCGGUGAAAUGCGUAGAGAUCUGGAGGAAUACCGGUGGCGAAGGCGGCCCCCUGGACGAAGACUGACGCUCAGGUGCGAAAAGCGUGGGGGCAGCAAACAGGAUUAGAUACCCUGGUAGUCCACGCUGUAAAACGAUGUCGAUUUGGAGGUUGUGCCCUUGAGGCGUGGCUUCCGGAGCUAACGCGUUAAAUCGACCGCCUGGGGAG
rnacentral:rRNA from 1 species